UGGGGAAUUUUGGACAAUGGGCGAAAGCCUGAUCCAGCAAUGCCGCGUGUGUGAAGAAGGCCUUCGGGUUGUAAAGCACUUUUGUCCGGAAAGAAAUCCUUGGCUCUAAUACAGUCGGGGGAUGACGGUACCGGAAGAAUAAGCACCGGCUAACUACGUGCCAGCAGCCGCGGUAAUACGUAGGGUGCAAGCGUUAAUCGGAAUUACUGGGCGUAAAGCGUGCGCAGGCGGUUUGCUAAGACCGAUGUGAAAUCCCCGGGCUCAACCUGGGAACUGCAUUGGUGACUGGCAGGCUAGAGUAUGGCAGAGGGGGGUAGAAUUCCACGUGUAGCAGUGAAAUGCGUAGAGAUGUGGAGGAAUACCGAUGGCGAAGGCAGCCCCCUGGGCCAAUACUGACGCUCAUGCACGAAAGCGUGGGGAGCAAACAGGAUUAGAUACCCUGGUAGUCCACGCCCUAAACGAUGUCAACUAGUUGUUGGGGAUCAUUCCUUAGUAACGUAGCUAACGCGUGAAGUUGACCGCCUGGGGAGUACGGUCGCAAGAUUAAAACUUAAAUGAAUUGACGGGGUCAUA
rnacentral:rRNA from 1 species